CCUACGGGAGGCAGCAGUGGGGAAUAUUGGACAAUGGGCGCAAGCCUGAUCCAGCAAUGCCGCGUGAGUGAUGAAGGCCUUAGGGUCGUAAAGCUCUUUUACCAGGGAUGAUAAUGACAGUACCUGGAGAAUAAGCUCCGGCUAACUCCGUGCCAGCAGCCGCGGUAAUACGGAGGGAGCUAGCGUUGUUCGGAAUUACUGGGCGUAAAGCGUACGUAGGCGGUUAUUCAAGUCAGAGGUGAAAGCCCGGGGCUCAACCCCGGAACGGCCUUUGAAACUAGGUAGCUAGAAUCUUGGAGAGGUCAGUGGAAUUCCGAGUGUAGAGGUGAAAUUCGUAGAUAUUCGGAAGAACACCAGUGGCGAAGGCGACUGACUGGACAAGUAUUGACGCUGAGGUACGAAAGCGUGGGGAGCAAACAGGAUUAGAUACCCUGGUAGUCCACGCCGUAAACGAUGAUAACUAGCUGUCCGGGCACUUGGUGCCUGGGUGGCGCAGCUAACGCAUUAAGUUAUCCGCCUGGGGAGUACGGUCGCAAGAUUAAAACUUAAAUGAAAUUGACGG
rnacentral:rRNA from 1 species